AAAAUACUACCUCCGUCCCAAAAUUCUUGUCUUAGAUUCGUCCAGAUAUGGAUGUAUCUAAGACUAAAAUGUGUAUCUUCGUAUUUUGACAAAUCUAAGACAAGAAUUUAGGGAUGGAGGGAGUAUAUG
rfam:Triticum aestivum genome assembly, contig: Triticum_aestivum_CS42_TGACv1_scaffold_343022_4DL